GAUGAAGAACGCAGCGAAAUGCGAUACGUAAUGUGAAUUGCAGAAUUCAGUGAAUCAUCGAGUCUUUGAACGCUCAUUGCGCCCCCUGGUAUUCCGGGGGGCAUGCCUGUCCGAGCGUCAUUGCUGCCCUCAAGCACGGCUUGUGUGUUGGGCCUCCGUCCUCCUCCCGGGGGACGGGCCCGAAAGGCAGCGGCGGCACCGCGUCCGGUCCUCGAGCGUAUGGGGCUUCGUCACCCGCUUUUGUAGGCCCGGCCGGCGCUUGCCGACACAUCAAUCUUUUUUCCAGGUUGACCUCGGAUCAGGUAGGGAUACCCGCUGAACUUAAGCAUAUCAAUAAGCGGAGGA
rnacentral:misc_RNA from 1 species